rnacentral:rRNA from 1 species
UACGUAGGGUGCAAGCGUUAAUCGGAAUUACUGGGCGUAAAGCGUGCGCAGGCGGGCUUUUAAGCCAGACGUGAAAUCCCCGGGCUUAACCUGGGAAUGGCGUUUGGGACUGGAAGUCUGGAGUGCGGCAGAGGAGACUGGAAUUCCUGGUGUAGCAGUGAAAUGCGUAGAUAUCAGGAGGAACACCGAUGGCGAAGGCAGGUCUCUGGGCUGACACUGACGCUCAUGCACGAAAGCGUGGGGAGCAAACAGG